rnacentral:rRNA from 1 species
GACAGAGGUGCCGAGCGUUAGGCGGAAUCACUGGGCUUAAAGCGUGUGUAGGCGGAUCGUUAAGUACCUUGUGAAAUCCCACGGCUUAACCGUGGAACUGCUGGGUAUACUGGCGAUCUUGAGCCGCCUAGGGGCAACCGGAACAAAUGGUGGAGCGGUGAAAUGCGUAGAUAUCAUUUGGAACGCCAAUGGUGAAAACAGGUUGCUGGGGGUGUGCUGACGCUGAGACACGAAAGCCAGGGGAGCGAACGGG